rnacentral:lncRNA from 1 species
ACAGCCGCACACAAAAACCUUUGCAUUCGUCAUAUUCACAGCCGCAGCACACAAAAACCUACUCCGCCAAAAUGAGUAUGAAAUCUAGUGAUUUUCUCCCCUAAAACAACAUCAGUAUGCCAAAUGGGUUAAUUUUAAUGUUCCGAUUCUCAUUCAUUUGGGUGAUUAUGAGAAGUAAUCAGUUGAUCUUUCGACAAAUCAGUGAAAUAUUCGAUCGUGAUUUCCCUGUUUAAAUUCAGAGGUAUUAUUCCUACUUUUAUGUAUAUUAGUUUAGAUUAUUUUUAAUUUAAUGUUUUUUGUUUCGUAUCUUUCAUAAAAUGUCGAAUGUAUUAGCAUUAUAACACCUUAUACUAGCCAGCAUCAACAUAUCGAUUUGCAAUGUUGGGCUAAAUUUUUACGUAUUUUUGAUACUAUGUAUUUUUGAUUAGAGAAACGAAAAUACAGACCUUUGUUCCCUGAAAUAUUAAAUACAAUAGCAUACAAAGUCUUUUUUGAAGAAAAACGUGGAUUCAAUUUCAUAUUGAUAAAUGUAAGUUGAUUUUGGUUUAAACAGGAGAUAUUUAAGUUAAUUUAGCAGUAAGCUCAUCUGUGAUUGCCAACCCAUUUGUUUGGAUAGUUUCUCAGAAAGCUAUCUGCUAACACCAGAGCUUUACAAUUCGAUUGCCCCCUUGCUCCAGGGCCUAACUAUUCAAAAUCUCCCCCUUUCCAAGUUAACACACUUUGGCAGAAAAGCACUAGCCCACAAAACCUAAACCAGCCAUUUGGAUCAUCUUGAUAAUUUAAACUAGGAUCUGGAGCCAUAAUAUUCAAGCAAUCCCAAUCUUUCCUUUGCCCAAGUCGGUAGCUUUCCAUCAUCUACCUUUCAUGAUCCCUUCUAUGCAAAGGAAUGCACUGUUUUUGACACCACGGGUUGUCUUCUAAAUUGAGGCACAAGUCUACACAUAGAAAUCUGAUGUGUGUUUUGUUGGCUAUAUGAUUUUUUGUAGUUUCUUUUAUUAGGUUUCUUAUUUCGAAAUUUUGUUAAAGUUUAUUUUUUUUUACGUGUAAAUGGUUGACAAUGCAUUAUUUUCUUAUAUGGAUUACAUGGUAAACUUUUUGUAUUUUUUGUAGAAAGACAACAUGUCAUCAAGAAGUAUGGUAGAGAGCAACAAAUUUUGUCCCCAAUACCAUCCCCGUACCAUCCCUCAUGCACCAAUAACAUCGAAGAAGACACCAAAAAAUGAAAGAAAAACAGUAAAAUAAGACAUUAUACUUGAAAAUGAAAGUGAAAACCCUCUCUAUAAUAGACAUCAUGAUUUGUGGCAAAUGGAAAGUCAUCAACAUACGAUGAUUGCAGAUUUGCGUUGGUGGAGAAGUCUCCAACCUGAAAUGUUUAAAAUAAUGAUAAUUAAAGCCUAUAAGAAUGUGACUUAUUCAUAUAAAUUAAGGACAAACAUGUACAUUAAGAUCUAUUGCAUCAUGUCUCAUGUAGUCUUCUGUUUAACUUGAGAAUUGUUAUUGAGUACACUUAGUCACCAUGAGAACUCUACACAAAAGAAAAAGGAGUAAAAUAAAAACAUUUAAUCUAAAUAAAUAAAAUUUUACAUUUGAAAAAAUUAACGAAAAAUGUUUACUAAAUUAGUGAAAUCUAAGUUAUGUUCAAUGGCCUUGUCUUUUCCUUUUUCUUUCUCUUUAUUUUUCCUUUUCUUCACUCUUAUACGACUAACAACUUUUUCAAUCUUAGAAUGAAGCCUUUUAAAGCGGCGCCGACCUUUACGAUGAAUCAACAAAGGACUAUAAAUAUUAUUUUUUUUACAACUACUACCCACUUGAGUGCCUUAUUUGAAAGGAGUCGAGUGAUUACUUCCACAUGUUCCAUCAUCUUUUUUUAGUACAUUAACAAAUCUUUUAAUCCAAUGCAUAACAACUUUUGUCUUAUCUUCAUUAUUUAUCGCCAAGUUUGCCGCUUCAUAAAAAGAGUUGCACUGUGACGCCCCAAAAUAGGUUCACACAACUCAUUCUGAGUCGCCAAAUACAUGGUACAGAAUCCAAAUAUAACUUCAUUUAUACAACUGUCGUGCAAAAUACGAAAACACAUAAACUGAGAGUUUCAAUACAAAUAUUGUCUCGCAGACAAUAUCUAAACUAAAGUAAAGUUCUCAUUACAAUUAUUAUCACAUUAUUUUAUAAAAUAGUGAAGACUACUAUAAUAACCAUCUUGGACCAUUAUUUCAUUCCCUGACUAGUCCCAAUUACAUUCUCGCCUCUUGAGAAGAACACUGGAACCAAAAGAAAAAAGGUGAGCUCAACUAGCACAGUAAAAAAAAUAUUAUGACUAAGAUAAUGAAGAACAAAUUAUCCUUAGUGCUCAACAGUGAAAAAUCUUGAUAGAAUACAAUAGACAAUAAAUUUUAGAUCAACAACUGAAGUAGAACAAGCAAUCCAUUAGAAGAGUCAAGUAGAGCAUGAUGUCUACUAUCUUCUAUGAUUUAAAAGUCCAUCAUCAAUAUUUUAUCUUUGUAACAUCAAUCAAUAAAUAUUUCAAAUCAACAAUUUUUUCACGCACUACGGGCCAAGGAUAUUCGUUUGAAUCACCAGUGGUCAUGAUCAUGCCAAACAACUGUCCAUCUAUACACUACGAGCCAAAGAGGACUUUCACCACUAUAUUUGUCUGUAACAUUACAGGUCAUGAUUAUAUCAAUACACAAUUCCUAGUCAUAAUUAUACCAAUCAACAGUUCAUCUAUGUACUGCGAGCCAAAGAUAACUUUUACCACAAUAUAAGCAUAAGGAUGAUGACAAUGAUAUAAUGAAUCAAUCAAGUGAGAUCAAUGAUAAAUAUUAAAAAUUUACAAUUCAAUUUAUUCAGAGUUCAAGAAUGUCCAAAUUGUCAACAUGAUAACUAAUUAUGGAGUAAAAUUUAAGAAUGAUAUUCAUGUAUCAAAAAUAAUUUGAAAAGAAAAUAAACCAAUUUUGCGUGAAUAGUACCCAAAUAAAUAGUACCCGAGUAAAUAGUACCCUGUGAAUAGUACCCCGAAUGAAAAUAUUGAAAUUUAAUAAGAAAGUUCAGACCAGUAUUUUAAUGAAACGAUACUAGAUGAAGCACAAAACUCAAUGAUAUUCUACUAAUUUCAGAGAUUAUAGAAGCAAUACUUAUAAAAGUAAGUGUAGAUUUAGGAAUAUGAAACGAAAUAAUAUUACUUACAUACUAUAGAGUAUGGAAGAAAAUAAUAUUUCUUACUUGAUGUCUAUUAUAUUUUAUCAGUAUAACACUGUUGAGGACUAAUAAUAAUUUAUCCUGCAUUAUCUUAGUCAUAAUAUUUCUUACUGGGCUAGUUGAGCUCACCCUUUCUUUUACUGUUCUCUUCAG